CCAUUACUAUUAUCCCGAGCG
rnacentral:siRNA from 1 species